rnacentral:rRNA from 1 species
GAUGAACGCUGGCGGCGUGCCUAAUACAUGCAAGUCGAACGCACCACUUCGGUGGUGAGUGGCGAACGGGUGAGUAACACGUAGAUAACCUGCCCUUAAGACGAGGAUAACCGUUGGAAACGAUGGCUAAAACUGGAUAGGAAUAUUGAAGGCAUCUUUAAUAUUUUUAAAAGACCUAGUAAUAGGUAUACUUAAGGAGGGGUCUGCGGCGCAUUAGUUAGUUGGUGAGGUGAUGGCUUACCAAGACGAUGAUGCGUAGCCGGACUGAGAGGUUGAACGGCCACAUUGGGACUGAGAAACGGCCCAAACUCCUACGGGAGGCAGCAGUAGGGAAUUUUCGGCAAUGGGGGAAACCCUGACCGAGCAACGCCGCGUGAAUGACGAAGUACUUCGGUAUGUAAAGUUCUUUUAUCAGGGAAGAAUGACUUAUGGAAAAUAAGUGUGACGGUACCUGAUGAAUAAGCCCGGCUAACUAUGUGCCAGCAGCCGCGGU